rnacentral:rRNA from 1 species
CGUUAGCACUCCGCCUGGGGACUACGGUCGCAAGACUAAAACUCAAAGGAAUUGACGGGGACCCGCACAAGCGGUGGAGCAUGUGGUUUAAUUCGAUGCAACGCGAAAAACCUUACCACUUCUUGACAUGGAGAUUAGAUCCUUCUUAACGGAAGGGCGCAGUUCGGCUGGAUCUCGCACAGGUGCUGCAUGGCUGUCGUCAGCUCGUGUCGUGAGAUGUUGGGUUAAGUCCCGCAACGAGCGUAACCCUCAUCCUUAGUUGCCAGCGGGUUAUGCCGGGCACUUUAAGGAAACUGCCAGUGGUAAACUGGAGGAAGGUGGGGAUGAUGUCAAGUCAGCACGGCCCUUAUGGGGUGGGCUACACACGUGCUACAAUGGUGACUACAAUAGGUUGCAAUGUCGCAAGGCUGAGCUAAUCCGUAAAAGUCAUCUCAGUUCGGAUUGUCCUCUGUAACUCGAGGGCAUGAAGUCGGAAUCGCUAGUAAUCGUGGAUCAGCAUGCCACGGUGAAUACGUUCUCGGGUCUUGUACACACUGCCCGUCACGCCAUGGGAAUUGGCUUAACUCGAAGCUGGUGCGCUAACCGAAAGAAACCCACCCAUA